CGACGACUUGAACACCCAGGCCAGUCGCAAGUCUUCUCGAAAAAAAGUUACGUACUCGACGCGGUUUAUGUUUGUUCUCUGAUGCUUCCGACGACGCACGGCCCAGAGGACAAAGAGGCCUCGAGGCUCGCCACAGCCUCGCACACGCACCCACCCGCGCGCCUCUGCUCCUCCCCUCCCCGUUGACCCACCAACGACCUCCUCCUCCGCCGCCCGCCCGCCCGCCAUGUCCGACAGCACCCACCGCGAGAGAUCCUGCUGCGGCAGCCUGUUCACCUUCCUCGUCGCCGCCGGCUUCGUCAUCCUCAUCUACUGGGCCAUCUUCCAGCCGCACCACAUCCGCGCGACGGUCAGCUCCGCCACGCUCGCCAACCUCACCGUGGCCCGCGACAACGCCACCGUCUCCUACCGCCUCACCGUCGGGCUCGAGCUCUACAACCCCAGCCUCCGCGUGCCCAUCUACUACGACGCGCUCGACGCCGAGCUCCGCGCCGGCGGCGGCGGCGCCCCCCUCGGCGGCCCCGCUGCCCGCGUCGCCUCCUCCCCGGCGGAGUUCCUGCAGCGCAGGAAGAGCGCCGACACGGUCAGGCUGGAGUUCGACGGGAGCGGCGGCGUCGGCGUCCCCGGCGACGUCGCCGGGGAGCUGGCGAGGGGGGCGGGCGCGGGGGCCGUGAGCUUUGAGGUGGACGUGGAUGCGCGGGUGCGCUACAGGUUCGCCAGCAUCAAGAUCCGCCAGAAGCCGAGGAUUUGGUGCUGGCUCACGGUUCCGGUCAAGCCGGAGGGUGGCGUCGGCGUCGGCGGCGCUCUGGCCUCCGGCGAGCGUUGUAGCGUUAAGUACUGAUGAAGCUUCUUGGGCAGUUCUCUGCCAGUCUGGCUGGAGCCAUCUUGUUUGGAGAUCCCACGGUGUGCCGGUUUGAUGUCGAUUUCAUUUUUGCAAAUAUUCAUAUUGUUUGUGUGAUGUGUAUUUCUGUAGGAUUGUUUGCCUAUCAUUGAAUAUUGGUUGCAUUCUUGGGGAUUAAUUCAUUGAUUGGCUGAACGGUUGAUGUCAUUUCAUCCUAACUCUUGAUAAAUGUCAAAUGUUGAUCAGAUUAUGUUCAGGAGACAAGACUUAUAUGGUCGAGAAACAUUGUUACCCAUUACUACAUCCAUUUCAAGUUCUGACAAGGUUGAUUGUCACACCAUGGCUCCUUGGCUUCUCGUCUCCUCUUGACAAGCUGCUGCAGCUGCCAUACAUACCUGAAGACGUUGGCAACUUUCUCCACGGUCUUUAUAUGUUUUCUUCUCUUGGCCUGGGUAUGACGUUUUGGUCUGAAGACAAGUGGCAUCACCCUAUGAAGAACAGGCACUGCUUUCACUUCAGUUAAAAUGGCAUAGGACCUUGAGCAAAGAAACAUCAACAAAUCAAUAUUCAUUUAGUGGCAGCAUCAUGAGAACAAAAGAGAUUUAGUUAUGUGCAUCUUAAUUAUGCAGAGGCCGGAUGUAAUACUUAAAUAUUUUAAGUAAUAAAAUGCCUGUUUUCGGAAAAAAUGAGAACAAAGGAGAUGAAUUAAUGGAUCGAUGAAACAUACAGAUAACCAUCUUGUAGCCAACAAUGUCCUGGGUGAGAUCAAUGAAACAUAAAUAGAUGUC
rnacentral:rRNA from 1 species